GGGAAGGUCAGUGGUGCUCACUGAACCUUUUAUUAUCUUACAGGCUGAGCUCAUUGAUGAAGAAGUCUUGAGUUCAUCAUUUUUUCUUCUCUAAUAGCUGAGAUGGCAGUCAAUGAGAGUGACUGCAGAAAGUUUCAGAAGGACACAUGGGAAUCAUUUAACCAGGCCAAUAAAAUCAACUAUUUAUACACUUCCCCCAGAAGACAUAGCCCUUGCUUCACUGUCUGAAGGAGAGAAAAUGCAAAAGUGAUAAAGGCCCGAAAAAGUCAUAUUCCUGAGCUACAAGAGAGAAACUGAGGACAGUGGAGAUGAGAAUAAAAUCCCUAAAACUUAAAGGAUGCUGGAUCUGGAUUCUACUGGAUGUUGGUGCUGAAGAGUGGGACUGUCCUAUCCUUUUCACAUAUGUUAGAGGUCACACAUAGGGAGCCCACAGACCCCAGCAUGCCAAUAAAC
rnacentral:lncRNA from 1 species